UUCUUCAGUUUUGUGAUGCCCACAGGAAAGUGCCUCCACCGUGGAGGGCCACUCUGAAAAGAUUCACUCCAAUGAGAGAUGAGGGAACCGAGGCCCAGCGAGGCCACGGGACUGGCAGACAUCUCACACGGCAAGGAUAGCAAAGCUGGCGCCACAAGCAAGACUGUGCUCUUCUCUGCCACACUAUAGCCCCGGGUGCCAGCCACCAUCUAGACACACAGUGAGAAAGACGAGUGGGGACACAGCCGAACAGGUACCUGAGAUGGAGGAAUUAUAUUUCUUUUAAAUUACGACAUGUAGCUUCCAUAUUUCAACCGGAAUGUAUACUAAUA